rnacentral:rRNA from 1 species
GACAGAGGGCGCAAGCGUUGUUCGGAAUUACUGGGCGUAAAGCGUGCGUAGGUGGUUCGUUAAGUCUGAUGUGAAAGCCCUGGGCUCAACCUGGGAAUGGCAUUGGAUACUGGCGGACUGGAGUGCGGUAGAGGAUGGCGGAAUUCCCGGUGUAGCAGUGAAAUGCGUAGAGAUCGGGAGGAACAUCCGUGGCGAAGGCGGCCAUCUGGACCAGCACUGACACUGAGGCACGAAAGCGUGGGGAGCAAACAGG